UGCCACAGCCAUAUCACCCUGCACACCAAGACUGCUUGCCCACUGAAGCUAAGCAGGGUUGAGCCUGGUCAGUACCUGGAUGGGAGACCUCCUGGGAAAACUAGGUUAUUGCUGGAAA
ensembl:rRNA 5S_rRNA 5S ribosomal RNA